UUGGCGCGCUGUUUCAGCACC
rnacentral:misc_RNA from 1 species